rnacentral:rRNA from 1 species
UACGAAGGGGGCUAGCGUUGCUCGGAAUUACUGGGCGUAAAGCGCACGUAGGCGGCUUUCUAAGUCGGGGGUGAAAUCCUGGAGCUCAACUCCAGAACUGCCUUCGAUACUGGAAAGCUCGAGUCCGGGAGAGGUGAGUGGAACUGCGAGUGUAGAGGUGAAAUUCGUAGAUAUUCGCAAGAACACCAGUGGCGAAAGGCGGCUCACUGGCCCGGUACUGACGCUGAGGUGCGAAAGCGUGGGGAGCGAACAGG